CAGAUAUCUGAAUGGAAGCCAGUAUUCCAGACGAGACCUGGAUUGGAGCACUGCAUCACGUGUCAGAUACUUGCCCAUCUUCUGAGUGUCUAAAUUGGGCUGUCUCAUUCCCCAACGUCUUGGUUACUCAUUGGGAAGCAAUGGAGUCUUUUCUCUGAUUUCCAUUUGCAUUAGGUUUGGAACACGUUGUGAGAUUUCACAUGUGUAGCUGACCAGGCACACGUGAUUUUCAGCCCAUUGUGAUGGCGUUUGAG